GGUGACCUACGGGACGCAGCAGUAGGGAAUAUUGCUCAAUGGGGGAAACCCUGAAGCAGCAACGCCGCGUGGAGGAUGAAGGUUUUCGGGUUGUAAACCCCUUUUGUUAGAGAAGAUAAUGACGGUAUCUAACGAAUAAGCACCGGCUAACUCCGUGCCAGCAGCCGCGGUAAUACGGAGGGAGCAAGCGUUACUCGGAAUCACUGGGCGUAAAGAGCGCGUAGGCGGGAUAGCAAGU
rnacentral:rRNA from 1 species